rnacentral:lncRNA from 1 species
AAUCCAAAGACAAAUAUGAAGUUGUGUUGAAGGCUAAGCCAUUUGCUUAUGCUUCAAAGAAGCAUUUCAAAGAAUGUGAAAAGCCUAAGCCUUCACCAACUCCAUACUAUUACAAGUCACCUCCUCCUCCAUCUCCAGUUUACAUAUACAAGUCACCACCUCCUCCAUCACCUACUUAUGUUUACAAGUCACCACCACCACCAGUGAAGUCACCUCCCUAUUACUAUCAAUCUCCACCUCCACCAUCACCAAAACCUCAGCCUCCUUAUUAUUAUCACUCUCCACCUCCUCCAACACCAGUUGUUAAGCCACCAUACUACUACCAAUCUCCACCUCCUCCAUCUCCAAAACCUAAGCCUCCAUACUACUACCAAUCUCCUCCUCCUCCAUCACCAAAACCUAAACCUCCUUACUACUACCAAUCUCCACCUCCUCCAUCACCAAAACCUCAGCCUCCAUACUACUAUCAAUCUCCACCUCCUCCAACACCAGUUGUGAAGCCACCAUACUACUACCAAUCUCCACCUCCUCCAUCACCAAAACCUCAGCCUCCUUACUAUUACCAAUCUCCACCUCCUCCAACACCAGUUGUUAAGCCACCAUACUACUAUAAAUCUCCACCUCCCCCAUCACCCUCUCCUCCACCACCAUACUACUACAAAUCUCCACCACCACCAUCCCCAUCACCGCCACCUCCAUACUACUAUAAAUCUCCACCUCCACCAUCACCGGUUGUUAAGCCACCAUACUACUAUAAAUCCCCACCUCCCCCAUCACCCUCUCCUCCCCCUCCAUACUACUAUAAAUCUCCACCUCCAUACUACUACCACUCUCCACCUCCACCAUCACCAGUUGUUAAGCCACCAUACUACUACAAAUCUCCACCUCCACCAUCACCCUCACCUCCCCCUCCAUACUACUAUAAAUCUCCACCCCCACCUUCACCAUCCCCUCCUCCUCCAUACUAUUAUAAAUCACCACCACCACCAUCCCCAUCACCGCCACCUCCAUACUAUUACAAAUCCCCUCCACCUCCAUCCCCAUCUCCACCGCCUCCUUAUUACUAUCACAGUCCUCCUCCACCAUCUCCCACUCCUCAUCCUCCCUACUACUACAAAUCCCCUCCACCACCAACGUCCUAUCCUCCACCUCCUUACCACUAUGUGAGCCCUCCACCACCUUCUCCAUCUCCACCUCCACCAUACUAUUACAAAUCACCACCUCCUCCCUCCCCAGCCCCCGCUCCAAAGUACAUUUACAAAUCACCUCCACCUCCAGCUUACAUCUAUUCUUCCCCACCUCCACCCAUCUACAAGUAAGCUCGGAUUGUGGAAGCACCAUUCACCACAAAUCAUGUAAGUUCAGGAUUCCAACAUUGAUCAUAAGUAAAAUUAGUUAAUUAUACGUGUAUGAAUUUUAGUAAUGGAAAUUCCCACUGAAUUAUUUUUUCAGGUUCUAGUUUUCAUGGAGGAAUAAAGGCAAGCUCCAUUUGGAGUGAAGUGAAAUAUCUAUCUUCCUGUCCAAGUUCUUUGAAUAAUAAAAGUCUGAAUGUGUCAUCUCUGGGCUACAAUGUUUGUGAUUCAGACCCGGUUGGUUCAAUUUGUUUGAUGGCCAUCUUGCACGUCCUGAUCUUAUUGUGUUCAAGUGACGGACAAAUGAAAAAGAGGAAGAGAGAUUUAAAGUGUAAAUGCCAAGUGAAAGUGAAAAAGUACAGUCCACUCUUAGAGAUCUCUUAAAUUUAUUUGUUUAUAGGCCGUCUAUGAUUGCUUUUCUAUUUAUUGUGGAAUUUUUGUAUUGUACCAGUUGUUGUGUUUGCAAUAAGUAAUAGUAAUAAACCACCAAAUUCAGGUUUCCUAACUUUCCUUUAAAAUGAAUGAAUAAAUAAGAAGUAUAAAAAGUAUGAUACCACAACCCUUAUAUAACAAAACUACCUUAAGCUUAUUCUCUUUACCUUAAUCCUUACCUUAAACCUUAAACUCUGUUUCAAGACAACAAUUUGAAUACGAAAAACAUAUGUCACGCGUUGUAGACAUUAUUCAUUACCAAGUUUUCAACUGGGUCAGAGUAAAAAUUUCACAUCCUACACUUCUGAAAAUCCUCUUGUUAUUAUUCUUAUGUUACCACAAUUUUGGUUUCCUAAUAACCAUUUGCAUUUAUACCAUUCUCGAGAUAUCAAAUAGUACAUCAGAAAGAGUCUCUGCCUGAUGCCUAUCAAACUCAAUAUCUGCCCACUAUGAUGAUUCUUUAGAAGGCACCAGCUAAAGUUUCUGCAUGUUUGAACUUUGCUCAUAAACAGAUAAGAUAAACAAACAAUUGACAUAAAUUAUUUGGACUCAACACCAAAUCACGUUUCCUUCUUGGAAUCUUUGCUCAUUUCUUUUGUAGUACGUACCAAUUAUUAAUUAUUAAUUUAACUAUAAGUCUUCUUCUUCUUCUAGCCAUAUCCAAGCAGGUCCCAUUAUCUAAUUAAAUAGCCCCCAAUAAUCUGAUCAAAUCCACAUAACUGAUUCGUGGACCCUUUCUUCCUUCUAAUUCAUGCAAUUUCCCUAAAGUUACAAAAACUAAUUUCACACUGCUACUAACAACCACAGCAUCAGCAUCUUAAUUAUUUCAUUUACCAUGUCACAAAAUUUGAAGUUGUGAUGAUGACAAGUUCUAAGAUUAUUUAAAUAUGAAUCAGUAGUUUGAAUUUAUAUAAGCUAUCACUAACGCAUGAUUUAGUUAUGAUUUGAAUUAGUCAUUGACAGAUACUGAUAAUUUUUAACAGUAUUAAUUAUCAUCCUGAGUUGUAUUAAGCUCAAAUGUGUACCUAACAAAGGCAACUAAAAAUUAAAGAAAGGAAUUCACAAGCACUAAUUAUUGCUGUGUUUACAAGAAAACAAAAAAAGUGGUCUUCCAACUAAUAUAAGAGAAAGUGGCAACUUGCUAUAUAAAGGGAAACAUAAAGAUAGAAAAGGGUUGAAAUGCUAAUUUGUUAUGGGUGCUGUCAUGCAUCAAUUCUGAUUAAUCUAAAUUUUUGAAGUUAUAUAAAACUACAAAGAGAACGAUGGCGCACCGAACAAUCAUUAUAAAGAAGAGGUCUACCCACUAUUUGAGGAACUGCUCAUCAUCACUUAAUGUAAAGAAUAACUUUUUAAUAUUUUAUAACUUUUCAAACUACUAAUUAAAUAAAUGAGCAUAAAAUAAUUUGUAUGCUUGAACCAAUAAUGUUUUCUGAAAAAAAAAACACUAUUGUGAUGCUGAUGUUUAAUAAACAACUGUAUUAAGAAAUGGGUUUUUCAAUUAUCAUUUUAAGAAUUAUUUGGUUGUUUUCAAGAGGGGUUUCUAGGAAGGAAAGGAUGGGGUUGGGAAAGGAUUAAUUAAGUAACCUUUUGCUUUGGGGGUGUUUUUUUUUAUCAUCAACAAUAAUGAAUAAAUAAAUAUUGAUCACUUUAGGGGUGAUCCAACUCUUAUACAACAUACUAAAACAGUCGGCCAACAUAAUACUAUCUAAACUACUCAAAAGUCAUCUAAACUACUCUAAAACAAGAAGCUCCAGAACGAGAAACAAACCAUAAGUUCAAGACACCAAUCUGAAUAAGAAAAACAAGCAGAUGAAAUUUUAAAGGAAAUCCAAGAUCAAACUUUCAAUUGAGUUAGAGAAAACGUCUCUGAAUGAUGCGUCACUCCACCUUUAAAGAUGACAUUGUUCCUAAGACAGAAAAUCUCACUAACCAUCACAAUUCAAACAUUUUUCAAAAUCAAAUUAACAGAAUUAGGUGCAUUACACAGGUUGCUGGCAAGAAACUUGUAUUUCCAAACAAAGGGAGUGACAAAAUUUGUACUCUGUUGGUAGAAGAAUGAAGUACUAUAUUCUUGCAGCUGUACAUUUAUCUAAUAGAUGCAUGCACUGUUUUCCCAAGGUUGUUUCCAUUUUCUGUCUGUAUCACAUAUAUUAAGCAAAAUGUUCAUUCUGCUGGAUGCAGUAUUAUGCUGCAGAGAUUCUGCUUUUGGCUUAUUUUGUCUUAUGAGCUUUGAUUCUCUAAACCUUUUUGUAAAGAGUUGGAGAGCAUACCUUAAAUGCUUCAAUUCUAUUUAUUUCAUUCUUUCCCAAUAAAAGAAAAGGAAUUGUUCAUGUGAGAAAUAUUGGAAUCCUAUUAAGGUAUUUUUAUAACCAAUGUGAAGAAAUUUGGUCUGUAGUUAAUUUCAGUUAAGGUUUAUUGUCAUGGCUGAUUUUGAUUUUUACUCUUUGUAAACAACUGAAAUAAUUUACAACUAGCAUUAUGGAUAAUAAUCUUACAUUAGCAUAGGAUCCUAUUGUCAUUUUCACUUCUUCACACUACUAUUGCAGCAAAAUGGCAUAAUGUUGCAGUAGUUUGCACCAUCUUAGUCUCUUAAAGAUCCUUUUUUCUGUGCUCAUGUGAUGUAUGACAGAAGAUAUGCUGCCACUGAAAAAGAGGUUCUGCUUCUUCAUAUUUCACAAUCUUGUUGCACCUCAUGAGGUGUGUGAUUCAAAAAGUUAUUACAUAUAAAUACUAAUUAAUGGGAUGAAUUAUAUAAUAAUUAGAUAAUAAUAUUAGAAUAAGGACUAGUGUUUAAUCUCUAAUUUUUUUCUUAUUCUAAACAUACAUGUAACCAUGUUUAGAAAGUUAUUUGGUUUACGCAAUAACUAUAAGUGUGAAAAAUUUAAACUACUUUUUCAUCAUAUUUGGUUAAAGACAAAGUUUUAUUGUUUAAUCUGAUACCAUAUGAUGUUGUAUAUUUUUAUCAUUUACCUUCAUCAUCUUCACCCAAUAGUAAUGAUAAUAAUAUAGUAACCACAUGAAAUAUUUUAAUAUUUUAAUAUUUGAUAUUUUAUUGUUUAACUAUUAUAUUAUUUCACCUAGUUUUGUUUUGUUUUUAAAAGCAAAAAAUUACAAAAACAUAUAGUGUAAUUUUCGUAAUGAUAAUAAUUUAAAAAAUAAAUAAAUACUUCAACAUUACAAUAAAAUCAUUAGAAACUAAUUUUAAACCUAAAAUAAUUACUUACUAUUUGACGAUCACUUUAUAAAUUAAAAUAUUAUUGGUAUCUAAAGUAAUUUUUAUUAUUAAUAAAAAUACAUCAUUACCAAAAUUUUAGUUCCUUAUUAUUUAUUAAUCUUUUAAAGAUCAAAUUAAAAUUUAAAAUAUUAAUAGUUAAAAUCUUGAUCCUUAAUUUAGAUACUAAUUUAUAAUUUAUAUUAUUUUUUAUUAAUAAUAAAAUUAGUUUAAAUACGAAUAAUUUUUUAGUUUCAUUAUCUAAUUUAGUCUAUUAAUUAUUAUUUUUAUCUUAAAAUUUGGUUUGAUGGUUUGUUACAGUAGAAGUUCAUUUUUAUUGAAGUUUGAUUUGGUUCUACGUGUUAUGUUUUAGAAAUUUAAUUUCUUAGCGUCACUUUGGUCAUACGUGGUUCAUUCAGAUUGAGAGGCUAUGAGCCCAAUGGGCAAGCACCCAUUUCCUCUAAGAAUUAUUUUUCCUGCACCCCUACGUUUUUCUUUCUGCACCCCAUAAUUUUAAAAAUUCCAAAAUUGAUUUUGACCUUGACCCUUUAUUUAGAAAAGGACACCGUGAAAUGUGCUACGGACUCAUUAAUAAUAGUAUAAAUUAUUAUGUUAUACUCUAAUCGAUAUGAAUUAUAAAAACGUUAAAUCUCAGAAAAACUAUUUAAAAAAUAUUAAAAUUAAAAUACCAACUCACUCAAUGUAUACUUUUUUAUUAUGAAUAGAAAUAGUUCAAUCCUUGUUGGAUUAUAAACAUUUUCCUGAUUUUGAAAAAUAAAUAAGUAGCAAAUGAAUGAAGUGGAAGGGAUUAAUGGAACUGUAGGAUGACAAAGACUAAAUUAAUAAUUUACAAAAUUAAAAACCAAUUCAAUAAAUUGUUAUUAAUAUAAUGAAUUGAUGUUUUUGAUUUUUUCAUAUAACAAUUGGUGAAGUUCUGAGGUAGACAAGUUGUCGCCCAACAAACUUUGACACUUCUUCUCAGAACAAGUGGUAGACCAUACAUGCAUCCUUAUUCUAAACAAAAAAAAAACAUCAAAUGUUUCAAAAAAAAACUCAAUAUUAUCCAUACCGAUGUGAUAAUGUCGUAUUCAAAAAAAAAAAAUUAUACCAAUUUGUUUUACACUAAAAAAAAUCCAAACUUUCUUCAAAUGGGAGUAAAAUACUAAACUUUCCUUUUCUCUUGACCGAGUCAACUUUCUGAACCCACUUUGCUUGCAAUGAAAAAAUGUAAUUUUUUUGACUUAAUCGUUAUGGGAAAGAAGAUUGACUGAUACAAAGUUGGAACAGAUAUGAAAAGAACCUGAACUGUUUACAGUGGUGUCACGUUAUUACCAUGAAAGUAGAUUAAAACAAACCUCAAAAGGUUAUUAUUCUUCAAUUCCCUUCACGUAAGUUGCAGUGUGGAUACUGUGAAUUUUCUUUGCUUUCAACUGGGACCUGUAGAAAGAGAAAAUGACUGCAAACAAGAAAGACACCCUUUGGAUUUCUCUUUCUCUCUCUCUCUCUCUUUCCCUCGUAAUUUUAUUUUUGAGACAACUCACAGAAGUCUUGCAAGUUGUAACCUUCAGUUUCUGGUUUCAGCCGACUAGUUUGAUCAGGUUCCGUCUACCCAGAUCUACUUUUGCCACAAUUUAUUCACUUUUUUCAUUUCUUGGAUCUAUUGCAUCUCUUGGGUAUCCUUAUUCUAUCUCAAUUUGAAGUCUUUCAUGCCAAGCUUCUUCUGGGAUCCCUUUUGAUCUUCUUUGUUGCUUAGUUUCUCGUAUAAUUUGCUCCUUGCUUCUUCUUCUGGCUUACUAUUUAUAAAGAUUUUAUCUUUUAUCGUUUCUUAUAAUUAUUUGUUAUCUUGGUAUUUACGUUUAGUUAUGAUGGUGCCCCUCUUUAAGUUUUCAAUGUUCUUUCCAAUUCAACUUUGCUUGAAAGAUUAUAUUAUACAGUGUCCUAUUUUUUUUUCCUCUGUGAUUUUAUUCAUGGUCCUUUGUUUUAUGUCUUUCCAUGCUUUCUAGUACAAUUUCGGAUUGUCUGAACUUUGAUUGCUGUUAGAAACGAUGGGGAUGAAGUGAAAUUCAUGAGGUUUGACCCUGCAUAGCAUUGUCAUUUGCAUGUUUGAGAAUUUGGAUUGAUCUCUGAAAGUUCAUGUAAGACUUAUUUUCAGAUAGUGAUGUUGGUUCUUUCUCCGUAGUAGAAUUUGGCAUGCAACUAUAGUUGAGUUCUGAUGUUGCUUCCAUGUCCAAACUCCCAAGUAGUAAAGGCUUACAAUUUUACUUCUUAUAUAUUUCAUGCCCAUUUGCCCUAUUUGUUUAAUCAUAUAUUGUGCAGACAUUGUACUUCUUGUUUCUUCUUUGAUGAAUUAGUCAACUCUAAAUGAUUGGUUUGGUUACUUUAAACUUCUAUCUUAGUACAAGUAAAGAAUACUGAUUGGAAAAUAUAUAUUUUUCUUGAAUUGUGCAUGACAAAUGUUUGAAAUGGGCUUUAUUUCUACUUGGCAGUUAAGCGUGGUUUUGGCAGGCUAAUUCUGAAAACCGGCUAGAAUGAAGAAGGCCAUUGGUCAAACUGUUAGGGAACUGUGAGUCUAACUGUUUAGGGUGGUGUUUGUUACUAUUUUUUAACUCAGCCCUAUUUCAUAAUUCCUCACUAUCUUCAUUGUCCUUGCAGUAAAAGAGAAGUAAAUAAGAAAGUGCUUAAAGUUCCUGGGAUAGAACAGAAGGUAAAUUUUGUUCGCUUAACAUUUACUGUAAAACUGAAUUGCAUAUAAUAUAACUCAUUGCAAAGACAAUGGUGUGAGGAUUUAUGUGAAGUCUGCAAUCUGAAUUUACUUUUCUAAUAUUUGCUCACAAAAGAAAUUGUUUGUUGACUAUCUUGGAGCUUACACAUUAUAAUCUUACUGUGCAAAUUUUAAUUAGACUCGUCUCUCGUCUCUUCCAGAUUCUUGAUGCUACCAGCAAUGAAGCCUGGGGUCCUCAUGGAUCACUUCUAGCAGAUAUUGCUCAGGCUACCAGAAAUUAGUAAGCUUGAACUCAUCAUUUAUGCUUGAUAUUGUAUACAAAUAUCUCACUUUUGAGCUCCCUUGCAGUCAUGAAUACCAAAUUAUCAUGGAAAUAAUCUGGAAGCGGAUUAAUGACACAGGCAAGAAUUGGCGGCAUGUCUAUAAGGUUUGUGGAACUUUUUUAUGUUUUAGAUGGAAUUACUCUUGGAAUCUCUUUUUUCUUUUGUUUAUUGUCAUAACAACACUCUUCUGUUUUGACCUUCAAUAUGCAUCCGUGAACUGAAGUACACUAUUUAUGAAAUUUUCUCAAUACUUAUUUACAAACAACUAAUGGUUCUUGCCUUUCAAGAACUCUGUCUAGUAUGUUUAUGCAUUUAUUUCUGAUCAUGCCCUCUUGGAAAAGAAUGGCUCUUACAUUUUUGUAUUAAAUGUUCAACAACAGGCUUUGACAGUAUUAGAAUAUGUGGUGGCUAAUGGGUCAGAGCGAGUCAUAGAGGAGAUUAGGGAGCAUGCCCACCAAAUAUCGGUAAUUUCCUGUCAAUUGAAACAUUUAUAAACUGUUUAGUAUUUUUCAUUCAAACUAUUAAUAUUAUUGAAAUGAUCUAAAAAUUAGAAUGCAGCUUGAUAAUGUUGUAAAUGUUCAUAUCAACAGACAUUGUCCAAUUUUCAAUAUAUUGAUUCCAGUGGAAGAGACCAGGGAAACAAUGUCAGGAAGAAAUCACAGAAUCUCAUUCUCCUUGUGAAUGAUAAAGAAAGAAUCAUAGAGGUUAGACAGAAGGCUGCUGCUAACAGGGACAAGUAAUUCUCCUCUUAUUAGUCUGUUUUUUUAUAUAUAUUUUGAACUUUGUUAUUUUCCAGUUGCUAUAAAAACUUAUGUCUUCUGCCUUGCUGGGGAAGAAAAUAUAUUUCUUUUCCCUGUAUUUUGUAAUAUCCAUCCAUUGUGUAUUUGAAUUUCUUUUGGGUUUCUAGAUCACAAAUGUAAAAUCACAGAGUAUAUUAUGUAAAUAUGUAUGUGGGUUAAUCCGGAGGAGAUAUGUAAUGUAAUUGCCCAGCAUGAUUCACCAGGUUUCGCGCCAGUUCAACAGGUGGAAUGUACAGGCCUGGUUCUCAUUCUAGCAGUGGGGCUUAUGGUGAUAGAUAUGAAGAUGAUCGUUAUAGAAGCAGGGAGGAAGAUAGAAGUGAUCAUGGCUAUGGCAGAGAAAGAGAGUGGGGCUAUAGAGAUGAUGAUCGGUAUAGUCGUGAAGGAGAUCGUUAUGGCAGAGAUAAUGAGGAAAGCUACAGAAAAGAUGGCUAUAGGGAUGAUGAGUACCAUAGAAGAAGUGUUGAUGAUGGCCAAUAUGGCUCAAGAAGCAGGAGCUCUGACAGAGAUCAUGAUCAUAAUGUUGAUGAUGAUGGUCAGCGUUCAUCUGGGUACGUGCCUGAGAUAGCCAAAAAAAAACAUCUAACAAAAUCUGAAAUAGAUAAUGUUUUUAUUUUUCAUAAUUAUAGUUCUUGGGGUUCAUUUGGUUUUGGAUCUUAGACUCUUAUUAGUUGUUAUGAUCUGUAUAUAUAUAUAUGCAUAUUAGAUGUAAAAAACUUAGACUACUUCAAAAGACAAGUACACAGCAUAAUCCGUAUUAGCUUUGAUGUUAGGAUUCAUGGUUGCACAACAUUCCUCUCUCAUUCUGCUUACUCCAUCCUUUUUUACAAUGUUGUCUCAGAGGUAGCAUUGCUAAAGCUGAAGCUCAUUCAAUGGAAGGAAGGUAAAUCAUCCCUCUCUCUCAUAUCACACACAUAUCCAUGCAUAAUGGCCAUUUAGCAUUAUUUUGGAUGACCAUAUGCAAUUCCAUGGGCAGGUUAGAGCAGAAACUUUCUGAGCAAAAUGUGGGUGCUCCUCCCAGUUAUGAAGAAGCUCUUUCUCAAAGCCCUUUACACAAUGAAAGGUAUGAAUUUAAUAAUACCGAGAUUAUCUAUUCCAAUUCCGAACAUAUUUGUUACUAUAUCACUUUGAUUGAAGGGAUGGGGGAAUUUCAGCUGCAAAAGCCUCUUCUCCUGUAAGUGACAAUCCUACACAAACAGCUGCUGCUGCCAGUACUGCAACAUCUGGAAACCCAGAAUCUAAGGCUUUUGAUGAAUUUGAUCCUCGUGGUCAUCCUGCAUCAGGUGUGGCAAGUUCUUUGUUUUGAAAAUUGAGUACACAUGUUGAAGUUUAUUAUUUUUAAUUGUCCUUUUUCUACUUCAUGUCAGGUUCGACACUCACAUAUAUGUAUGUGUCCAAUGAAAUAUAUUUAUAAUUAUCAACAUAUGAUAGCAAAUUUUUAUUGUAUGUUUCUUAUUAGCUGCCCGAGCUCCUGCUAGUAAUGUUGAACUGGACUUGUUCGGCUCCCUAUCUGAACCAUUCUCUUCAAAUGCAUUGGCUCCUGUGUCUUCUGCACCAGAAACAACAACCUCUCAAGGCAACACAAACCUUGAUUCAACUGUGGCCUUUGCACCACCACCAUCUGCUACUAAUAAUUUCAAUACGGUAGGAAUUUGCUUUUUUGUUUAUACCUUGACUCUAAGAAAGUAUUUGAAUACGCUGUAUUAUUUAAUAAGAAUGAAUUUUUGUGUAUGGCUUGGAAUGAUUUUCUUGCAUGCUUAGGUGGGUAGCUUCAACUUAAGAAAUGUAGCGUAUUAAAUACUGUAACUUCUGUAAAACAUUAAUUUAAUUUGUAUCCUUUG